ensembl:lncRNA
GAAGCCUGUGCUCUCGGGUGGCCCACGUGCUCUCGGGGGGCCUGCCUGUCGUGGUGGCAUCUACUGUGACCCAAUCUGCUGCAGUGCCUUCCUCUUGCAGAAGACACCUGGCUGUCUCAAUGUCUCAAACAGAGGCUUCUCUGUGGGCCCGGCCCUGGAGCGAAGAUCUUCACCAAAGGGAGCCAAGUCUGACCCAGCCUGGACCUGCAGCAUGAGCAAGAAGGAAGAAUGAUGGAAACCAGAUUCAACAAUAGGAUAAAGCAUUCAUUGUAAAGAUUUUAAAGAUGGCAACAAAUUUUCUGAUGCUCCUCGGAUCUAGAGACAAGAGUCUAACUUCCCUCCCACUGAAUCUGGGCUAGCUUGAGAGGCUCGCCUGUAACCAAAAUAAUACAGCAAAAGUGAUACUCUGUAACAAGUCAGAGAAAGUCAUGCGGCGUCCAUUUUGCUCACUGGAACGCUUACUCGCGGAGCCCCAAAGUGUAAGAAGAGCAAGUACUCUAGGCCACUACUCCACGCGGAAGCCCCAGCCACAUGCAGAGGCCACACGG